GCUCAGAUAGAUUCUGGAAUGCUUCUGGAUACUAAAAACGUAUAAUACAGUCGGUUUGCUCGCCCACCGUAUAAUGUGAUUUUACCAUGUAACCUCUAGCCAUACCAAUUUAAAUCGUCCCAUUUUCUUCGAAAAGGCGCUACGAGCUGCGCCACUUUGUGUUCUUGAAAAAAGUUUAGAAUCAUCGUUUUCGGUGCAAUCGCCAUCCGUCUUCUGCCUAUUCCGGAAUAAGUCUUCAAUGGCUGGACUUCCUUAUAUUUGCGCCUAACAAGUUGUAGUCAAUUUUUGUAAAACAUGCAUUCUGCUUGACUGGUUAAGGGGGUUUCGCAGGCUUUGCGUAUAACCGGUAAUUCAGCGGAAACAUUUCGUCGGCAAAAAAAGGCACGGAAACAAUGGAUUCCAGACAGACAUUGCAACAUUUGGAUGAGAUGUUGUAUUUCCCUCAAGAAUACGGUGCAACAGAGUGUAACGUGGCUAAUACUGUCCUUAUGAAUCAUGGCGAUCAGAACUGGCAUUUGGCAUACAUUCAAGAUAUCCAUGAAGACAGUUUUCUGUUGAAUUUCAUAAGCAGCAGCACUACCGCUUCCUGGGUGAACUCGAAAUACAUUUGGCCUCAUUAUCUUAUACCAAGCCAACCGUUGCACGACUCCGUUUUUGUGGCGGUACGCAAUGAAUUAAACGGACCUUUCGUAUUCCGCCCAGCAAGGUUGGUGUUUACAUCGCAAGGAGAAAGUUCAUCUCACGACCGUUUGAAAUUGCACCAUGUACAGUUGGAUGUGGCAGGGGAAGACGGGAAAACAGUAAGCCUUCGUCGUAUAGUCCAUCAUUGGCAAUUGGCAGAAAGCUUGCCUUAUAACGAGCCGUCCUUUGCGACUCGCGUGUCACCACAAAGAUACGCUAAAUUUAAAAUACAGUGGCCAGCAGCCGGGCCACAGGAUGUGAUCGGAUGGGAUAUUUUGCGCUCCUGGAUUCAGGACAUGUAUUUCCGUAAUGCGAUUACGGGACUGUGCCGAUACUUUACACGAAUAAAUGCUAAUAGCGCUAUAUUUAUUAUCUGGCUGACCCGCGAUAACGAAAAUGAGUUACACGAAUGCCUUUCGAAAAUCCGACGUUCUUUCCGGUAUUCCAGCAUAUCUCGUAAGCCAGCGCAAUGGGGCGAACUAUCGGAACUUAACUUUUCAGGCAACGAACGUUCACCAGGAGGAACAUGUGGUGUGGGCUUACCAAUCGAAAUAUUUCUGCAAAUAUUCUUCAAUUUGGAUGCGCAGUCGCACGUGAAAAUCAAACGGGUGUGCACACUUUGGAACGCAAUUUACGAGCGUUAUGAAAAUGGAAAGGCGGAUAUGACAUUUCUUGUUGAAAACUUCCCCAUCGCUUCAUACAACUGGGAUCGGAAUGCAUACCGUUUUGCCGUGUUGCUUGACAGAACCAUUAGCAAACGCAUCAAAGUUAUAUCACUAAUAACCAAUGCAAACUCAAGAGCCACCGUAGGACUAGCUGGUCAUGUGGAUUUGUUAAUUGCCGCAAUGAAGAUAAGAAAUAUCAAUAAUUAUCUCAUUUGCAUUAAGGAUCGGGAAAUUGCCAUCCCUCAAGAUGUAACGCUCUACGAACAUCCUUCCGGCAUUUUUGCGGAUUUCUUCGCUAAAGCGGGAACUAUCGCGAAAAUCCAGUGCGUGCAGUAUAUGCCUACUGACGUGGAUCGUUAUCGCCUGAUAUCUGACACGUCCACCGUUUACAGAGACGGUCAGUGUUUGAUGCGGACCCUGAGUACAUUAAUUUUGACCCAAGAGGAAAUGACAGCGGUGGCGUCGAAAUACUCGUUGCCAAUUACACUCAAAACAGUCGCUUCGAAAAGCCCCGAUUGGACAUAUCUCAUGCGUCUACCCGACUCGGAAUGAAUUUGAAAACAAACCAGCUUGACAAUGGUGGACUUGAGAAACCUUUUUCAUAUGAACAAGAUUGCAGAAGAAACCUACCUCGGACUUCUAAAACGGAACAAGGAAAAGAAAUUCCGAAUGUCAUAUUCUCGUGGUAGAUGGGGACAGAGUUUUGCGUGACCUUUGCGUAUUCAAUUGUUUGAAUGCGCAUACCUGUCGCUAUCUUAUUCUAUUAUGAUAUUAUUAUUUUUGAUCUUGAAAUUUUUGUUGCGCUUCGACCCGUGUUCCGGACUCGCAGCACGUACUCGUACUGCAUGUAUCAAUUUUGCGAUUUAUUGCAUGGAUCAAUGCUGUCAACA